AAAAUACUCUCUUACACUAACACUGACGUUGAAAAAUGAUGCGCUGGGGGACAGACGGCUGAGAUGGUUUUGUGUUUGUGGCCCAGGACUGUGGCCCAGCAGGCUUGUUUGCUGCCAUAUAACAGUUUAACUUGAGCUAAGCAGAUGUUCCUGUCAGUGAGGCGAUGAUACGAUCUGCAGGAGUUCAUUUCAUUUCCAUAAAUUUUCACUUUUUUUUGAAGAUCUGUUUUCCCGUCUGCCUCCUCGCAAACCAGGUUCCUCUCUUUGAUUUCUAUAAUAUGACUUAUCCUCAGCGCCCAUGACUUUAGCAGCAGAAGCCGAUGAAUCACCUGUGUGACCUGAUGCUUACAGCACUGAGCAACACUAAGUCCACUUCUGAUGUCUCAAAGUCGUCACCCAGAGCAUCACUUCUGCACAGUUUGUUUCAGGAUCCUCCACAAAUACGACCAUAAGAUUACUGAUGUGUAUAAAAACACACUCAGUCAGAAUCAUUUUUCAGUGAUUAAAGUCCAUGUCAAGCAAAUCUUCUGAGUGGAAACCACGUCACUGAAGUCACGGCCAGCCUAACCCACACAGGGAUCCAAAGCAAACGUCUGAGCUCAGGUGGCUGCUGAGAACUUCGUUACAGGAACGUGUUACUUUCCCAGGCAUCCAGAAACCAGGGCGAGCUUCAGACAUGAAAGAAACUCUCAUCUGAUUCAUCAACUGACGAAAAAUCGUUAGUGUUUCUUUCAGAUUUUGAAAAAUACAGGAAA